rnacentral:rRNA from 1 species
CGUGAAAUUGUUGAAAGGGAAACGAUUGAAGCCAGUCGUACCGGCGGGUAAUCAGCCUUUUGGGUGUGAUUAUGUGGAGUGUGAGGAGCUAAUCACCUUCAUGCCUGCAUAUUCGUGCACUUUGGGUGUACUUGCUCGUGUGGUAGGUUAACAUCAAUUUUGAUCGUCAUAAAAU